rnacentral:rRNA from 1 species
CCUAAGGCGAGGCCGACAGGCGUAGUCGAUGGACAACGGGUUGAUAUUCCCGUACCGGCAAAAGACCGACAAUGUCGAACCUUGUGAUGCUAAACGUGCUAAGCGUCGUCUCAAUCUCUUCGGAGAACGAGGUGGUGUGGAACGCGUGACCCGAGCAGGUAGUAGACCAGCGAUGGAGUGACGCAGGAAGGUAGCCUCCGCGUGGCGAUGGUAGUCCACGUCUAAGGGUGUAGGGCGAGGUGUAGGCAAAUCCGCACCUCACAUAGCCUGAGACCUGAUGGUGACCGCAAUUGCGGGAAGCAGGGUGAUCCUAUGCUGCCGAGAAAAACUUCUAGCGAGGUCUGAGCCGCCCGUACCCCAAACCGACUCAGGUGGUUAGGUAGAGAAUACCAAGGCGAUCGAGCAAAUCAUGGUUAAGGAACUCGGCAAAAUACCCCCGUAACUUCGGGAGAAGGGGGGCCCGGAUCGUGACGGCACUUGCUGCCCGAGCGUGAACGGCCGCAGAGACCAGGGAGAAGCGACUGUUUACUAAAAACACAGGUCCGUGCGAAGUCGCAAGACGAUGUAUACGGACUGACGCCUGCCCGGUGCUGGAACGUUAAGGGGACGGGUCAGCACGUAAGUGCGAAGCUCAGAACUCAAGCGCCAGUAAACGGCGGUGGUAACUAUAACCAUCCUAAGGUAGCGAAAUUCCUUGUCGGGUAAGUUCCGACCUGCACGAAUGGCGUAACGACUUCUCGACUGUCUCAACCAUAGGCUCGGCGAAAUUGCACUACGAGUAAAGAUGCUCGUUACGCGCGGCAGGACGGAAAGACCCCGGGACCUUCACUACAACUUGAUAUUGGUGUUCGGUUCGGCUUGUGUAGGAUAGGUGGGAGACUGUGAAGCUCGCACGCCAGUGCGGGUGGAGUCAACGUUGAAAUACCACUCUGGUCGAAUUGGAUGUCUAACCUCGGUCCGUGAUCCGGAUCAGGGACAGUGUCAGGCGGGUAGUUUAACUGGGGCGGUUGCCUCCCAAAAUGUAACGGAGGCGCCCAAAGGUUCCCUCAGCCUGGUUGGCAAUCAGGUGUCGAGUGCAAGUGCACAAGGGAGCUUGACUGUGAGACAGACAUGUCGAGCAGGGACGAAAGUCGGGACUAGUGAUCCGGCACUGGCUUGUGGAAGCGGUGUCGCUCAACGGAUAAAAGGUACCCCGGGGAUAACAGGCUGAUCUUGCCCAAGAGUCCAUAUCGACGGCAAGGUUUGGCACCUCGAUGUCGGCUCGUCGCAUCCUGGGGCUGGAGUAGGUCCCAAG